UGGAUAACAGAGCCUACCCUCAAACC
rnacentral:piRNA from 1 species